ACAAACAUCUGUGUGCUUCUUUCAGAGCACAAAUGUGCACUGUCAAAUCAUGCAUUUGCUUGCAAUGAGAAAAGUGGUUUGCAUGGGAAGUUCCUAAUUUCGCACCUAUGAUUUCCUGGACCCUCUUGAAAUGGUAAACAGUCUUGCAGUUUCACAUUGAGCUGUGAAGUGCCACACUGCUGAGACCAUCCGGCAAAAAAUCAAAAAUGAUCAGUGUGUGAGCAAUUCAGUGCUGACCUGUGACAUCAGGAGUUAAAAUGUGGAGAUGAUCAUUUGAUUCCUUCACCAUGUUAUUUGUCCACCUGAAAGCUAGGAGAAAAUACCUUUUUCUAGCUGCUGUGGGCAAGGAAUAGACUCCGAGAGCAAGAGACUGAUGCUGAUCUUGUCACUGGAAUGAAGAAUUUUUGCCUAUUAAAAGCAAGUCUUGACAGAAUUCUGAUUACUUACUGCAAGCACUGACUUCCCAACUAGCUGCUGCUCCUCCUCCUGCUUUGGACAUGUUUUAUGGCCUUCUGAAAAUAGAGUUGCACGUUGCAAGCAAAGGCUGCCUUCCCAGGGCAGAAUUUUUCCAGGGAAGUCUUUGGAGGAAUAACUGCUCCCAUGCUCUGUGCACAAGCCAAGAUCUGUCCUGCCAACACAUCAAGUAGACUCAGUGAUACUGAAUUUGUGUUACAUAGUUGCUGGAAAUUUCAGAUCAACAAAAAUGGCUCUUAAAACUACCAAUAUACUUCAGCAUUAGCACCGCACUAACAGCACAAUUAGCACAGUGCUUUGAUUGGAGCACCAGUCAGCCUGCACAUCCACCUCUACCUUGAAGAAUCUGACUCAUUAAGGACCAGAAGGAACAGGUAUAAUCUUUAAGAACCACUCACCCUUUGAAAAGCAAGCUUUUGUAGUUAUGCCUUUUGAAUAAGCCUAAAUUGUCCUUGGGAAUCCGGUCUUUGCCAUGGCCCAAAGAAAGUUCUUGCAUAGAAUACUGUAGUUCCUGUAUGUAUAGGAAUAUAUAUAUUGCAACAGUGGUCAAUUUUUCAGUGAAUCAUCUAUACUAAAACAAAGUGUCUCCUUAAACUACCUUCUAAGUCCCAUUCAUGCAUAGGUUUGUGGUAUCAUCUUCUGUUAGGGGUAUAACCCUACUUCCGUAGAGGUAUGAGGAGGGAAGGGAUAUACGUGCAGUGUCAGAGUCCAUAUAAUGAUUUGAGUGCCCAGUUUUGAAGAGUAUCCUUAUUACAGCAUUCAAGCACAAGGACAACUUUGCAAGGGAUUUGUUGAUAUAAACUGCAGAGAUGUGAGACAACAAGGGAAGGCUCAAGCAACAGGCAAUUUCACAGUAACAUGAAUGGUGUCGAUGAAAGUGAUGAGGCACAGAGCUAAAUCAUUGAGAACAGCACUGAAAACUUACCUUAACUUGCCUUGUCAAGGAAAUAAAUUGUUAUGAAAACAGCUGUGUUUAACAGUCAUUAUCAUACUGAUGGGAUGCUAUAGAAUAUUCUGAGUCAUUCAUUUAAACUGGGCAUGAUUCAGUCUGGUGCUUGCAGGCAGCUCUUGCUUUCUCUGAAGUGCCAAACUCCAUAGUGGCAAUACUAUACUGAUGUUAAGACUUGUGUGAAAAAGCUGCUUAGAGCAGUACAUCUGAACAUCUUUAUUAUCUUGUUAGAUCACAAAGGUUCAACCAUGAAUGGGUCUGGUGCCUGUAAUAUCCACUGAUUUAGGAUUAGAUUUUUGUAGUUUUUAAUUUUCUCUUUCCAACAGGAACUGGGUCUGUGUGAUUAGCAGAUGCUCAGUUUCUGUCAGGAAUGGAAUCCUGAUUAAUUCAUACUCCUUUUCAUGUAUUUCUUCUCUGACUGCUUUUCCAGUGCUCUUGAAUUUAAAAAACAUUUCUAAGAUAGAAACAUCAAAAUUGUGCUAACUGUGGAUCAGCACUAAUCUCUGAAAUAAAAUUGUAAUUUUG
rnacentral:lncRNA from 7 species